UUGAACGCUGGCGGCAUGCCUUACACAUGCAAGUCGAACGGCAGCACGGGUGCUUGCACCUGGUGGCGAGUGGCGAACGGGUGAGUAAUACAUCGGAACAUGUCCUGUAGUGGGGGAUAGCCCGGCGAAAGCCGGAUUAAUACCGCAUACGAUCUACGGAUGAAAGCGGGGGACCUUCGGGCCUCGCGCUAUAGGGUUGGCCGAUGGCUGAUUAGCUAGUUGGUGGGGUAAAGGCCUACCAAGGCGACGAUCAGUAGCUGGUCUGAGAGGACGACCAGCCACACGGGGACUGAGACACGGCCCAGACUCCUACGGGAGGCAGCAGUGGGGAAUUUUGGACAAUGGGCGAAAGCCUGAUCCAGCAAUGCCGCGUGUGUGAAGAAGGCCUUCGGGUUGUAAAGCACUUUUGUCCGGAAAGAAAUCCUUGGCUCUAAUACAGUCGGGGGAUGACGGUACCGGAAGAAUAAGCACCGGCUAACUACGUG
rnacentral:rRNA from 1 species